GAUUCUGCAUGGUGCCAAGUAUAUCAAAACAGCAAGGGAAAACUGGAUAUCCAGCAGGGAAUGUAAAAUAAGCAGUCAGGUUUGGCUGAAUCUUCAGCUACCAAACCCAAGAGUCACUGGAUAUGGAGACAGCUCAAGACAAACUCACAUGGAUGUACAUGCAGGGCUCCUGAUCUCCUGAAGUCUUGAUGCCUCUGAGUUAAUGCACUGCCUUGUGAAAGGACUGCAUGCUGGGGUUUAAGAGAAAAGCUUUCCUACAUGCAGUGUCAUCUACUGGUGGCAGCCCAGGUCUUGGACUGUA